rnacentral:rRNA from 1 species
AUGGAUGGUAAGGAGCAACGAAGGAAGAGAGAAAGAGAGCGCUAUGCAGACAUGACCGACGAAAAAAAACAGGAAAAACUCAAAAGACGCCGUGAAGCCUAUCAACAAAAGAAAGAGAAGAUAUGUGCACAACGUAGGCAGAUAUAUGCAAAUAUGCAGUCAGAACAAAAAAAGAGAAUAGAACAUAUAAAUGAAUUGAAGCGCAGCACAGCAAACAAAGACUCAAUUGCGAUGCAAAAGCCUGCAUAUAGCUCAACUAAACAAGAAGUUAGUAUUUCUACCCCUUCUGUAAAUCAAAGAAAGCAUGUCACGCUAGGAGAAAGACAAACAUUGCUGCACCGCCGUAACAAACAAUUCACGACAAGACGGAGGUCCGUAUCAUCAAAAGAAGAUGCAUCCAUGACGGAAAUCGGCAACAAUGACACAGAGCCUCUACAUCAACCACAAGUAAUGAUUUACGGUAAAAAUCUAAAUUUGUACAAUACUAGCAUUCAAAGUAAAUAUACAUGUCUUUGUACAACUAACCAUAUUUUGUGGAUAGACAUCCCUUCAUCAAUGUUUCCAAGCAUGAAAGAAGCAGAUACCCCAACAAAGACAUUAUACAAUGGCGAUCACAAUAAGGUGGCUUCAUGGCCAGACAUCCCCUCUUCAAUGUCUCCUACAAUCAAAGAAGUAGAUGCACAAAUAGAAUCAUUCUACAAUGAUGUUCACGGUAUGAUAAUCAAUUGCAUAUACUUUUAUACAAUACUAAAACUAUAUGCAUAUCUAUAUAAAUAA